UUUCAGAACACAAACAAGCCGAAAUGCAAAUCAAACAGGCACAAGUGGUUUUAUAACAACUGUCAGGUCUCUAACGUCCACCCGUUAACCUGCAUCAUUUGUUCCCGAUGGAUACUACAAGGAUAUCAUCUGUGUGGCUGCUGCCCUUUGCGAGAUGAAAAUCGAGAUGCUGCCCUGUGAUUGGUCAGGCUGUUACUAUCCGGAACAUGGCAGAGGGCGGAGCUUUACGCACAGCUGAUCGAGGAACAACAAGCGUGCUGUCCGGGCACAUGCGGGAAUGGGGGGCUGGGAGCGUGCAGUUCACGGCAGGGACGGGGUUAAACGCGCACAUUCCUCCUAAAGGGUGAAAUUGUUGUGGUCCCUAUAACAUACAGCACUAAAAGCAACUGGGGUGUGUUUGAUUAGUCGAUUAUCGCAAGCUCACAGUUUGUCAUUUAUUCUACGAAGUUUAAAGUUUUGAGUUUUCCUCAGUUUUUAUAGAUAUUCUUCUACUGUUGUGCAGACAAAAGGAGGACUGUAAUUUUUCAAUUUACUUACAGUUCUAGUAGUCACCUUUGUGACAACUGCAAUAUAUGCACUAAUGUAUACCACUUAGCCCUGACUGUAACCGAGUAACUUGUAUUUUUUGAUGGAAUUUGGCUCAUAUUUAAUUGUCAUGUGAAUUUUAAGGUGUUAGAAAUCAUGUUUUUUUUUAAACCUGAGUCAUCCCGGGAGUUUGGAAUGACUGUUGAGAAGUUAAGUUCAUUCAGCUUGCUGACUUUUCUCUGUAGCGUUCUUGUUUUGGGUGCUGAGUAAGAUUUGUCCCCAAUUCCACCAGACCCCACUUUGUGCGUGUACAUUUAAAUAGUUAAUACCACAUAAACAGUGGUGAUGUCAUUCGAAUGGUACUUUGUUUAUUAAACAGAUAAAGCUUGUGCUGUAUUUUCACCUCAGGCAUGAUCUAAAAUAUACAUUCACAUCUCAGUAGCAAAUGGACCACACAAAGAAAAACAACAUAGUAUUUUUUCUUUGUUUUUAAGAUUUGUUUAUGAAAUAUGGAUGAGGGAAAAAAUCUAAAAAUAGGUUUAGAGAAAUGUGUUUGUUUUUUGUCCUAAUUUACAUGCGAAUUGACAAACCUACAAGCACAGGAUAAUGAUUAAUCAGACUGCACCGCAGGGUUUUGUCAAAAUAAAGGUUUUCCCACAGUGUAGUCACUCUGGAGAGAGCUUUUGCUUGGGUUUCCAUGGAUCGCCCUAAGGGAAAGGCAUAUUUUCCCUUCAAGUCUGCCUCUACAAGGUUAUAUUUUUAGGACCUGUGGGAUUGACCAACAGCUUUUUCAUACCUUGGUUGUCAUCGGUAUAUGUUUACUGCUAAUUUUUGGCCUUACAGAUACAUAGCCAAGCCACCCAAUGUUAUUAUUUGUUUGCUUAAAUUAGCAUGCUAGCGCUACCUUGGUGAGAUGCUACAGAUCAGGAUGACAUAAGGAUUUAUGACAAGAUGAUGAAACCGGGUGCAAUAGUUUAUGUGGUUUUGGCUUUUCUGGUUUCUCCAUCUGUCACUGUGUCAGACUCGCAGUCACUGACUGAACACGCUCUACCUUUCCAUGUUGCCGUUAACACAGUUGAGUCACUCUUCACUUAUCACAUGCUUUGAUUAUAAUGCAUCCCCACCCUAAUCACCUUCCAUCAUCAUCUUUCUGAGCUUAAGUCAUUCAACACUAAGUAGACAUGUGAUGUUUUAGUUUUGACUUUGACAGUAACUACAGCUUGAUUGAUCUCACAGCUGUGGCUCACGAUAUUUGUCCUGUGUUUAACCUCUG